rnacentral:rRNA from 1 species
GGAAUCUUGCACAAUGGAGGAAACUCUGAUGCAGCGACGCCGCGUGAGCGAUGAAGCCCCUCGGGGUGUAAAGCUCUUUCGACGGGAAAGAUAAUGACGGUACCCGAAGAAGAAGCUGCGGCUAACUACGUGCCAGCAGCCGCGGUAAUACGUAGGCAGCAAGCGUUGUUCGGAAUUACUGGGCGUAAAGAGUGUGUAGGCGGUGUUCUAAGUCUGUCGUGAAAUCUCCCGGCUUAACCGGGAGGGUGCGGCGGAAACUGGAAUGCUUGAGGGUGGGAGAGGUAAGCGGAAUUCCUGGUGUAGCGGUGAAAUGCGUAGAUAUCAGGAGGAACACCUGUGGUGUAGACAGCUUACUGGACCACUUCUGACGCUGAGACACGAAAGCGUGGGUAGCAAAC